UUCGAAGCAUCCAGGCACAGGCAGCCAAGCUGGAACUCUUGGGCUUUCACGUCUUUAAAUAGCAAGGAACUGAAAUGCAGGGAAGCCUACAAGAAGGCUUUAGAUUUCCCUUUAUUGUACCCUGAGGGAGGGGAGGCUGUUGAAUGCAGGGCUGCCACCAGCAGUCCCGUCCUCUGGCCAGUGGCAAACCCAGCUCCCGUGUGCAAACUUGAGGUUUACCUGGGGAGUUGAGCCCUGCAGUGGCCCUCGUGUGUGAUCCUGUGGCCAAUGUCUGGUGUGUUGGGCAUCUCCCCAGUGUCCCUGGGGGCUGCAGGUGUCCCCAACCCUAUGCAACUCCCUGUGGCUCUGUAUUUCUUGGGAAUGGAGUAAACCUUAAGCAAACCUGGGGACCAUAGGUCCCUGUAGCCCGCCCUGCCCACGCUUCUCCCUCAGUCUAAACUGCUCUCUCCACUUGCUUUCUUCAGUGCUUUUUGUCUAAUACUCAUAGUAUUUGCAUAAUAAGAUGCUGUUCAUGCACAGGCAGUGAGGGAGGAAGAUUCAUGUGCAUACCUCUCUAGCAACAGGAAAAUCAUGUAAUAACAGCACUUUAUUUUGCACCUGGGGAGGAAAUUCAGCUCCCACCGCCGGUACCAUGAACUGUGCAGGGCAUUUAAACACACAGCCCCAAAACUUACACAGGGCAGCCACCUGACUGAUAUUUAUGUACCUUAUUUAACCAGCAGAAGCAAAUCAAGCAGGCGGAAGAGUCAAUCUCUUUAUUUUAGUUUUUCUAAGAGCCCACCUGGCCAUUCCUGUCUGCCACAGAACAGUGAAUCUCAGCUAGGAGGGCCUCUAAGAAGCAAAUUUGUCCGGAGAGGAAGGAUUGGACUGUGUAGAAGCAUCCUACUGCACAAGGUCCUGAGCAUUGGAGAUGUCCUGGAGAAUUGCGGGCACCGUGUCAAGCUGCAGCUCUACAAAUUCCCAGAGAACAAAUGAGUAACCCGAAAUCUUGGAGCUGUGCUUCACUCUUUGCUGUCUCAGCCAGCAAUCCUGACCCUGGCCUGCUGUAACAGUGUCCCAGGCUUGGUGAAGUGGUGCAGCUCCAUGCCUGUGCAAACAGCAGGAGACACGCAGGCACGAAGUCCUUCCUUUCCAAGCAACACCCGCAGCCCUGCCUGCCUGCACAGCCGUGUGUGCACAGCCCUGCCGUGGGCACUCUGUGUUUUUCCCUGUGUGCAACCACACGACCUUCUCUCGGCCUUCUCACAGUCCUGCCACAGCUCCCGUGCGGCGUAGAUUGCACGUGGAUACGGGAAGGGCAAACACAUGAGGAACAACUCGGAAUUACCAACACACCUGACUGCAGGAAGAUGAAUGUCCUUCCCAAACGCUCUGGCGUGUGCACAGGCGCUUCCACAGUGUCCCUG
rnacentral:lncRNA from 1 species